rnacentral:lncRNA from 1 species
UAAGAAUCUCUAUCUGAAGGCUACAACUUGUAGAGGGUGUGGAUACAAGCUAAUUGGGGAGAUAUGGAUAGAUUGCUACGUGGUGCUGAAAGUGCUGUUGAAAUUGGAAAUCAUGAAUUUUUAAUUAUGUCAAUGAUCUUACUUAUAUAAAUUUUCUGCUAAGAUCAAACACCUUAACAUGAUGGUUCCUAACUGGAGGUUUUCUUCUGAAUUACAUGGAAGCUCUUUCCUGACCCUUAACUCAGACCUAAUGAUUUAAAAUUUCUACAAGGUCUGCCAUGUGUCUUUUUGCAACUUCCACACGUUUUUCUUUGUUUAUGAUUCACAGAAUCCCUCUUUUGGCAUAGCCUACAAUGAUCCUCAUGACUAGGUGUCUUUCUACCUGUUCAUCUUCACCUCCCAUAUGUCAAUCAUAAAAAAACUUCCUGUUGUGAGGGCCCCUGAUUACAUCAUACUUUCCCAUCAUUUACUACUGACCUUGAAUGGACAACCAACAAGUACCACAUCAUAUCAUAGAGAAGACUUAAUUCUACAACAGUAGUUACAAAGCACAGACCCAUUUCUACAUUCUUUUCUAUAUCUCUCCUUGGNACAGUAGUUACAAAGCACAGACCCAUUUCUACAUUCUUUUCUAUAUCUCUCCUUUCUAUAUCUUUCUAUAUCUUAUAUAUCUUAUAAUAUAUAUCUAUAUUCCUUUCUAUAUCUCUCCAGGGGUCUGGCCUGUAUUAUUCAGAUGUCUUUGUGGGAGGCAGGAGUUCAGAACAUAACACUUGUGAUAGAAGAAACUUCAAUAUAUUGGCAGCUCUGGUACAAGUACAGAUGUACUUGUACUAUGUAUUCUGGAACCAGGGCACCAGUCAAACCAAGGCAAGAGAAGAAAAUCAAGCCAAAUAAAAGCCAAAAAGACUUGACAUCUGUGAAGGUGGAGACCUGGUUGGAGAUCACAGGUGGAGACCUGGUUGGAGACGACAAAUCUGAAAUAUCUCUGAUUAUGUGAUUUUACUCCAGCAGCUCUCAGCAUCAAAGAUUCCACCUGUGUGUUAUGGAUAUUUGCAUGACAUUGUUCUCUUAAUUUCAGUAAUAUAUGGCAAUAUUAUAUCAUUGGAUAGAGCCUUUUUCUGAAUCGUAAUAAAUGCCAAUUUUGAUUCCA